AUUGAACGCUGGCGGCAGGCCUAACACAUGCAAGUCGAGCGGUAACGCGGGGCAACCUGGCGACGAGCGGCGGACGGGUGAGUAACGCGUAGGAAUCUACCUGGUAGUGGGGGAUAGCCCGGGGAAACUCGGAUUAAUACCGCAUACGCCUCAAGGGGGAAAGUGGGGGAUCUUCGGACCUCACGCUAUCAGAAGAGCCUGCGUUGGAUUAGCUAGUUGGUAGGGUAAAAGCCUACCAAGGCGACGAUCCAUAGCUGGUCUGAGAGGAUGAUCAGCCACACUGGAACUGAGACACGGUCCAGACUCCUACGGGAGGCAGCAGUGGGGAAUAUUGGACAAUGGGGGCAACCCUGAUCCAGCCAUGCCGCGUGUGUGAAGAAGGCCUUCGGGUUGUAAAGCACUUUAAGCAGGGAGGAAGGCUUCACGGUUAAUAACCGUGGGGAUUGACGUUACCUGCAGAAUAAGCACCGGCUAACUCCGUGACAGCCGCCGCCGUAACAC
rnacentral:rRNA from 1 species